GCCAGACUCCUACGGGAGGCAGCAGUGGGGAAUAUUGCACAAUGGGGGAAACCCUGAUGCAGCAACGCCGCGUGAGUGAAGAAGUAUUUCGGUAUGUAAAGCUCUAUCAGCAGGGAAGAAGAUGACGGUACCUGAUUAAGAAGCCCCGGCUAACUACGUGCCAGCAGCCGCGGUAAUACGUAGGGGGCGAGCGUUAUCCGGAUUUACUGGGUGUAAAGGGAGCGUAGACGGUUCUGCAAGUCUGAAGUGAAAGCCCGUGGCUUAACCGCGGAACGGCUUUGGAAACUGUGGAACUGGAGUGCUGGAGAGGCAAGCGGAAUUCCUAGUGUAGCGGUGAAAUGCGUAGAUAUCAGGAGGAACACCGGCGGCGAGGGCGGCCUGCUGGACCGUAACUGACGUUGAGGCUCGAAAGCGUGGGGAGCAAACAGGAUUAGAUACCCUUGUAAC
rnacentral:rRNA from 1 species